GACAGAGGGUGCAAACGUUGCUCGGAAUUACUGGGCGUAAAGCGCGUGUAGGUGGAUUGGUGUGUCAGAUGUGAAAUCCCUGGGCUCAACCCAGGAACUGCACCUGAAACUACCAGUCUUGAGUGGUGGAGAGGGAAGUGGAAUUCCUGGUGUAGAGGUGAAAUUCGUAGAUAUCAGGAGGAACACCAGUGGCGAAGGCGGCUUCCUGGACACCAACGUGACGCUGAGACGCGAAAGCGUGGGGAGCAACAGG
rnacentral:rRNA from 1 species